AGCAGCGCCGUCGUUGUCUGUGGGUGCAACCAAACCUGGAGUCUACGUUUGGAGCACGCUAGUUUCCUGUAUUCCUUGAGUUUCUUAUGGAUCCCCAGUUGCUGCCUACUUCUGAAGCACAGGUUAUUAGAGAGGCUGAAAACCAGACUGGAACAGGCUCUUCAAAGGCAGCCUCUGGACCUGGACUAUUUAGAGUUCCUCUGUACCAGUGAGUUGAGCCUAGUUCACUGAGUACUCACAUGCCAUUUCCAGAAGAGGUAAGCAAAGUCUGUUUGUUUUUUGUGCAAAAUAAGUACAAACAUUACCCCUGUUUUCAGAAUACUUUCAG